GGCCUGGUGGUGUACUGGCAGCACAUCCUCUCAGUGUACAUCAGUAACAUAGACCAAUUGGAGGAAGAACCCUGUUCAAUUCGGGGCCAGGCCA